rnacentral:rRNA from 1 species
CCCUUAGAUGUUCUGGGCUGCACACGUGCUACACUGGCAGGCUCAGCGAGCUUCAUGCCCUGAUCUGAAAGGAAUGGGAAAUCUUUUCAAAACCUGCCGUGCUUGGGAUAGAUGUUUGCAAUUAUUCAUCUUCAACGAGGAUUGCCUUGUAAGCGUACGUCAUCAGCGUGCAUUGAAUACGACCCUGUAUUCUGUACACACCGCCCGUCGCUCCUACCGAUUGAAGUUUUCGGUGAGUUGACAGGAGGAUUUUUUUGAAACUGGUUCGCCAGUGGAUUUUAGAUCCAAAUGCCAACGAAUCGAUGGCUUUAGAGGAAGGAGAAGUCGUAACA